rnacentral:rRNA from 1 species
CCUACGGGGGGCAGCAGUGGGGAAUAUUGCACAAUGGGGGAAACCCUGAUGCAGCGACGCCGCGUGAGCGAAGAAGUAUUUCGGUAUGUAAAGCUCUAUCAGCAGGGAAGAAACUGACGGUACCUGACUAAGAAGCACCGGCUAAAUACGUGCCAGCAGCCGCGGUAAUACGUAUGGUGCAAGCGUUAUCCGGAUUUACUGGGUGUAAAGGGAGCGUAGACGGAUUUGCAAGUCUGAAGUGAAAGCCCGGGGCUCAACCCCGGGACUGCUUUGGAAACUGUAGGUCUUGAGUGCUGGAGAGGUAAGUGGAAUUCCUAGUGUAGCGGUGAAAUGCGUAGAUAUUAGGAGGAACACCAGUGGCGAAGGCGGCUUACUGGACAGUAACUGACGUUGAGGCUCGAAAGCGUGGGGAGCAAACAGGAUUAGAUACCCUGGUAGUC